UACGUAGGAGACGAGCGUUGUCCGGAGUUACUGGGCGUAAAGGGCGCGCAGGCGGCCGCCCGCGUGUGUGGUGAAAGCUCCUGGCUUAACUAGGAGGGGUCCAUGCAGACGGGGUGGCUUGAGCGUCGGAGAGGGGCAUGGAAUUCCGGGUGGAGCGGUGAAAUGCGUAGAGAUCCGGAGGAACACCAAUGGCGAAGGCAGUGCCCUGGCCGACGGCUGACGCUCAGGCGCGAAAGCGUGGGGAGCAAACAGG
rnacentral:rRNA from 1 species